rnacentral:rRNA from 1 species
UUCGCCUGUUUAUUCAAAAACAUGUCUUUAUGUUAAGAUAUAAAGUCUGGCCUGCCCACUGAAUUUUAAAGGGCCGCGGUAAUUUGACCGUGCGAAGGUAGCAUAAUCAAUAGUCUUUUAAUUGGAGGCUGGAAUGAAUGGUUGGACAGAAAGUAUUCUGUCUUUUUUGUGCAGAUUGAAUUUAACUUUUAAGUGAAAAGGCUUAAAUGAUUUAGGGGGACGAUAAGACCCUAUAAAACUUUACAUUAGGUUGUCUGGUUUUAAAGAUAAUAAAAAAGGUUGGCGGAGUUAUGUUGGGUUGGGGCGACUAAAAUAAAGUAGUUAACUGUUUGUUAAUUAGUAUAGAUAUAUCUAGAUAGGUUUGAUCCUUUAUUAGGGGUUAUUAGAAAAAGUUACUUUAGGGAUAACAGCGUUAUUUUCCCUGAGAGUUCGUAUCGACGGGAGUAGUUGCGACCUCGAUGUUGAAUUAAAGUUUCAACUAGGCGGAGAAGUUUAGUUAGUGGAUCUGUUCGAUCUUUAAAAUUUUACAUGAUUUGAGUUCAAACCGGUGUGAGCCAGGUGGGUUUCUAUCUAAA